UUAUUUGUUUUAAUUAAUAAUUAUAUUAUUUUGUUUAUAUUAUAACUUUUUUAGUAAGUGAAACAAUAAUUUAUUUAAACUGAAUAGGUAUAAUAAAAUAUUUAAGUAUUAAUUUCUUUUGUACCUUUUGUAUCAGGGUUAGUUAAUUAAUUAAAAUAUUAUUUUAUUGUCCCGAAAUUAAAAGAUUUAUAUAUAAUUAAUUGUUAUUGUUUAAUAAAUAUGUUAAAAUUUUAUAUAGUAGAUAUAUUCUUAACGAUUUUAAUUUUAUCUGGUUAUUAAGGAUUUAAUUCAAUUAAGGUAUUUAUAUAUUAUUUUUCUUUUUAUAAGUUUAUAAUUACUUAUUUUAUUUAGGAUAAUCUAAAUAUUUAUAUAUAAUUUUUCUUUGUAAUUAUCAUAUUAUCUUUUAAAUUUUGCAUUAAGUUUUUAAUAAAUUUUUUAAUAAAUAUUAAGAUUAAUUAUAUAUUUAUAAUUUUACUUGAUUUUUUCAUUUAAUUUUUAUUUGUUUUGAUAAUGAUUAAAUUAGUAAGAUUUAUAUUUUUUAGUUAAUGAACUCGACAAAAUAAUUUUCCAAAUGUUUAUCAAAAACAUUUCUUUUUGUUUAUUUAAAAAGUAAACCCUGCCCAAUGAAUAUUUAAAUGGCUGCAGUAUAUUGACUGUACAAAGGUAGCAUAGUAAUUAGUUUCUUAAUAAGAAUCUAGUAUGAAUGGGCUUAUGAGAUAGUAGUUUUAUUAUUAAUAUUAUUUAAAGUUAAUUUUUUAGUUAAAAAGCUGAAUUUUGUUUUUUAGACAAUAAGACCCUAUAGAACUAUAAAUAAUUAAUUAAAUUAUUUUUUAUUGAAUUUUUUUAUUAUAGCUUAUUUAAUUGUUUUUAUUGGGGUGAUAUAUAAAUUAUUGGCUUUAUAUUUUUUAUUCAUUUAUUAAUGAUUUUAUUGAUCUUCUUUUAUAUGAGAUUAAAAGAAAAAGUUACCUUAGGGAUAACAGCGUAAUUCCUAUGGGGAGUUCAUAUUUAUAUAGGAGUUUGCGACCUCGAUGUUGAAUUAAGAUAAAUUUAAGGGGCAGUUUUCUUAAUGGUAAGUCUGUUCGACUUUUAAUUUCUUACAUGAUUUGAGUUCAAACCGGUGAAAGCCAGGUUGGUUUCUAUCUUGAUAUUUCUAAAUUUAUUUAGUACGAAAGGACCAGUAAGUUAUAUUUUAAAUAUUAUAUUUAGAUUAAAAUUAAUU
rnacentral:rRNA from 1 species